AAGACAAAAAGGAAAGUGAAUUCCAUUUCUCUAAACUGAAGAGAAGGCAAGAUUUGGAAAAGAAAAGAAAACUUAGAAAAAUAGAGUGGAUGAGGCAAAUGUACUACUCAGGAAGUCUGGAGGCUAAGUCAACACAUCGUGAAACUCUAGGACUAAUUCACACUGCAACAAAGGGGCUGAUUAGAGCUUUUGAAGAUGGGGGGAUAGAUUCUGUGAUGGAAUGGGAAGUGGAUGAAGUGCUGAACUGGACAAAUACACUGAACUUUGAUGAAUCUACACACUGAAAUGUUUACAGAUGAAAUGACAUGACAUCUUGCUUUAAAAUAAUAUUGGAAGGAAGUUGGUGGAAAGAGAAAUGGAACAAAAUUGUCCAUGAGUUGGUAACUGCUGAAGCUGAGUGACAAGUACAAGGGGGUUCAAGAUGUUAUUGUCUCCUUUUGUAUGUUUGAAAUUUUCCACAAUAAUAAAAGUAAAAAG
rnacentral:sRNA from 1 species